rnacentral:rRNA from 1 species
CCUACGGGUGGCAGCAGUGAGGAAUAUUGGUCAAUGGGAGAGAUCCUGAACCAGCCAAGCCGCGUGAGGGAAGACGGCCCUAUGGGUUGUAAACCUCUUUUGUCGGAGAACAAAACCCGGGACGUGUCCCGGACUGCGUGUAUCCGAAGAAAAAGCAUCGGCUAACUCCGUGCCAGCAGCCGCGGUAAUACGGAGGAUGCGAGCGUUAUCCGGAAUUACUGGGUGUAAAGGGAGCGUAGACGGCGAGGUAAGCCUGAAGUGGAAGCCCGCGGCCCAACCGCGGAACUGCUUUGGGAACUGGUUUGCUGGAGUAUGGGAGGGGUAAGCGGAAUUCCUGGUGUAGCGGUGAAAUGCGUAGAUAUCAGGAGGAACACCGGUGGCGAAGGCGGCUUACUGGACCAUAACUGACGUUGAGGCUCGAAAGCGUGGGGAGCGAACAGGAUUAGAUACCCGGGUAGUC